rnacentral:rRNA from 1 species
AACGAACGCUGGCGGCAGGCCUAACACAUGCAAGUCGAGCGAGGACUUCGGUCCUAGCGGCGGACGGGUGAGUAACGCGUGGGAACGUGCCCUUUGCUACGGAAUAGCCCCGGGAAACUGGGAGUAAUACCGUAUGUGCCCGAGAGGGGAAAGAUUUAUCGGCAAAGGAUCGGCCCGCGUUGGAUUAGGUAGUUGGUGGGGUAAUGGCCUACCAAGCCGACGAUCCAUAGCUGGUUUGAGAGGAUGAUCAGCCACACUGGGACUGAGACACGGCCCAGACUCCUACGGGAGGCAGCAGUGGGGAAUCUUAGACAAUGGGCGCAAGCCUGAUCUAGCCAUGCCGCGUGAGCGAUGAAGGCCUUAGGGUUGUAAAGCUCUUUCAGUGGGGAAGAUAAUGACGGUACCCACAGAAGAAGCCCCGGCUAACUCCGUGCCAGCCGCCGCAGUAAUAC